AUGUAACAAACCUGCACACGUACCCCUUAAAUCUAAAACAAAACAAAAACUUGUUCUGUGCUUUUAAUCGCUAUCAUAAAUUCAUCUUCUGCAUGAAGCCCUUCGCCAGCUAUCCUAGUUAGAAUGACAUCAUUGAACAAGUAUCUUUUGGCAUUUACUUUGUACUAGGUACUAUUUUGGGAAACUGUGAUACAAAAAUGAGUAAGACUUAUCCCAGCCAGGGAGGGGCUCAGUCUACUCAUUUGCUCCCUGUUCUGAGUCUUGAUACACUGAGGUUGGUUACCCUGGAGAAACUUGCUUGCUUGUGCCCGUGGCAUGGUGAUUUUCCUUUGGAUGUGUCCACCAUGAGAUAAGGCAAGGAGCAUGUCAACCUCAUGUCUUUGUUCUUUGUGUCCAGUGUGAUGCUUUGAUACUGAAGCCUCCUGAUGGCUGUCCUUGUCAACUGUGAACCCAUCAAAGGACAUCUAAAAUUCAACAUGGGACAGUGUAACAGAUUAAUUCAACACCCUCUCCACAAUCCCCUCAAAGAUGAAUGCAUAUUUUCUUCCUGUAGCAGCCCUCCAUCCUGAUUUAUUUCCAAGCUGGAGUGUGACCGGUAGUUGGACCAGGAGUUUCACAGCAUUGGCUUCCUUGGUUCUCAGACCUUCUGACUUGCACUGAGCCACACUACUGGCUUCCCUGGUUCUCCAGCUUGCAGACACCCUACCUGGGACUUCUCAGCCUCCACAGUGCAGUGAACCAAAUCCCCUACUGAAAACCCUUCAUUGGCUUCCUAAGUCCUCCAGGAGAGAGUCACAAAUCCUUCACCCAGCAGCCAGAGCCUUCCACUCUCCAAUCCUGUCCAGUCGCUACCCUUUCCUCUCAGCGCUGCUUCGCUCUCACUUGACCACCCAGCAAGAGCACAGGAUUUCCUGUGUCCUCCAGCCAUGUAAUUACUUCUCCACUUUCAUUGCCUGGUGAGGGCUGGUUAUGCUUUAAAAAUAUGUGCUACC
rnacentral:lncRNA from 1 species